GACCAGAUUCACAGAGGACACAGCACUGCACUCGCAGGCUGGGGACUGUACUGUCACUCUGGGAAAUGGCAGAUCCCAUUUUGCCAAUGAGCUGGAACACAUGUCAUUGCUGAGUCCUGAGCUAUUGCUGGAGACAAUUAUGCUGAAAACCAGCAGUGGGAAGGCAUUAGUAUCUGCCAUGGAGUAAGGAUGGGAGCUAAACUACAUGUAUAAUGGACUAUGAAGAAUUCACUUAUCUAUGCCAUAAGGAAAAGCAGGAUUGUGUCAGGAACAUUUAUGUCUAGAAGGAAAAGGAGCAAUUGACAUCAGGAGGUAAAACUGGCAAUGCAGGGGUGGCUAAAGAGAUUUGCAAGUUGACCACCUGAGACUCUACAUGCUCAGCUGAGGUUUCCUGCUCCUCUGCCAUUCCAGAAGCUUGUGAAAACCUAAACAUAGAGGACUGCUCAGACAAUGAAAGAGGCCUCUUGCCUGUUUUACCCAAUGUUAGGGGAAGAGAAAAAAUAAACAUGGCUAAAUAUUCCUCAGGCCUUAUCACAGGGAAGGGCUGAUAAAUUACUUUCCAUUCUCCUGAAAGGACAAAGACUGAGAUACAAAGUUAAAGUCCAUUGAGGAUUUGUCCCUUAGCACCCUCAAAUCAGAGAAAAAUUCCUACACAUCAGCCCAAGUCACAGAGCACUUAAAAAGUGUAAACAGCUUGACAAGCCUCCACCAAACUUGCACAGGUGGAAGUAAUUCUCAGAGCAAGUACAUGGUUGCAUAGAGAGCAAAAUAAAAAUGAACUCAUGUUUAAAUAGUGGUUUAUGCACAGUGGAGCUCCAAGGAUGUAAACGCGAUCCACAGAGAACCAUGAGCUUCUCUGGGUCAGUUCUCACUGUGUCCCUACAAGCACCCAUGAUUCUGCUCCUGCUCUUGACCCUUUGUCUAGCUUGUUCAAAUUUACCAACCUCAAGGGAAUUCCAGCUUAUUUAGGCACAUCUGGUCUAAUUUUAAAUGAAGUUUAUUGUGUUCUCUGGUGCCCAUGGGUAUAGUACCAGAUACGGUAUGGAUGGGAAGGCUUAAGGGAGCCAUAACUCUCUCUCCAUAAGAACUGUCCAUUUCUGUUUCAUACAGAGAUGUAGGACCACUUCCAUUAUAUAAUGGGCACCUAUAGUGGCAGGCAAAGCCUUGUAUACAAAAUACCCAAUUCCUUCAAACAACUGUUCUGUAAGGGCCACACAGAGCAGUAUCUCUGGCUCACUUAUAACCAGAAUGGCAAGUUAGACUUUGCAUGAUCAAUGUACCAAAAUACCAGGAAAGACCUCUCAGAACUCUAACUUCAAAUUUAUGGAACAAGAAUAAAGUCUACUUUUAUUAUUUUA